GGCUGCGAGUCUCCCCCCGAGGCCCUUGGCGAAGGCUGGAGCCCUGGGACCCCGCUCGGGAGCGCAGCGUGCGGGGAGCUGCAGCCUCGCAUAACUUUUUGAAAGAGACUUAGGAAACCUCUAGACCAACACAAACCAUUGUUUCAGAGCUGGCAAUAAGUGAUGGAAAAAGAGUCAGUCAAAUAAAACGAGGCCUCUAUUUGCAAUCUUUUGAGCCAUUAGCACGAGUAUUGCUUUCUACUGGAACUGACAUUUUGUUGAUACUUCAUCAGACUGGAUGCUCUGAUGGCAAGGAAGAUUAAAACAGAAGAAACAGAGCUCAUGAUUGGAAUGUGUGAGAGGUGCAAACAUUUGAAGUCUUUUUAAGGUAACCACUAUCCUUGCUCUAACAAACAAACUGGCUAAAUCAUCCCUUUUGUUUCUAAAGUGUAGCAAUUAGUGUCUUCUGUUUACAUUGCAGGUCUCCCUUAAGUUUUAAGUAAUAGCUGUGGACUCGUGCAUACUAAUAGAGCCACAGUAUGCAGUGCAGAAAAUAUGUUCUAUAUGGGUGUGGGUAAAACACUCUUUAAAGGUGAACUGUGAAGCAGUAAUAUACACAUACAUACCCCUAUAGAGGUCCUGAUUCUGCAGUUGGAUCUAUAUAGGCCAUAUCUUAUGCCCUUUCCUACUCCUUUUGAUAUGUCUAUG
rnacentral:lncRNA from 1 species